GACGAACGCUGGCGGCGUGCUUAACACAUGCAAGUCGAACGGAAAGGCCCUGCUUUUGUGGGGUGCUCGAGUGGCGAACGGGUGAGUAACCCGUGAGUAACCUGCCCUUGACUUUGGGAUAACUUCAGGAAACUGGGGCUAAUACCGGCUAGGAGCUCCUGCUGCAUGGGGGGGGUUGGAAAGUUUCGGCGGUUGGGGAUGGACUCGCGGCUUAUCAGCUUGUUGGUGGGGUAGUGGCUUACCAAGGCUUUGACGGGUAGCCGGCCUGAGAGGGUGACCGGCCACAUUGGGACUGAGAUACGGCCCAGACUCCUACGGGAGGCAGCAGUGGGGAAUAUUGCACAAUGGGCGGAAGCCUGAUGCAGCAACGCCGCGUGCGGGAUGACGGCCUUCGGGUUGUAAACCGCUUUCGCCUGUGACGAAGCGUGAGUGACGGUAAUGGGUAAAGAAGCACCGGCUAACUACGUG
rnacentral:rRNA from 1 species